rnacentral:rRNA from 1 species
AGAACGAACGCUGGCGGCAUGCCUAACACAUGCAAGUCGAACGAGACCUUCGGGUCUAGUGGCGCACGGGUGCGUAACGCGUGGGAAUCUGCCCCUUGGUUCGGAAUAACAGUGGGAAACUACUGCUAAUACCGGAUGACGACGUAAGUCCAAAGAUUUAUCGCCGAGGGAUGAGCCCGCGUAGGAUUAGCUAGUUGGUGGGGUAAUGGCUCACCAAGGCGACGAUCCUUAGCU